GCCUCCAUAGCUCAGUCGGUAGAGCAUCAGACUUUUAAUCUGAGGGUCUGGGGUUCGAGUCCCCAUGUGGGCU
rnacentral:tRNA from 1 species